GCUGCUGAGCGCUGAUUGGCUCCGGCUUGGGAAGCGGCAGAAAAGGCCGGCGUGUGGGGCGGGCCUGGGGAAGGGACUCCCGCGGCCCUAAGGUGCUGGCGGGCGUUUGGCGUUGCAGCUGUGUGGGCGCUGGUGCGUGCGAGUAGCGCUCGAAGAAACCCAAAGGCGUCGUGGGGCUGCCGUGUGCCCCAGAGAGCACUGCAGGCCGGGUAGGGGCUAAGGCUCCCCGCAGUCUUCUGUGUGUCGUCCAGUACGCAGUUGAAAUCGUUCUCCAACCUGGCCAGUCCUCCGAGGCCCUUCUCAGGCGACCAGACUCUGUUAACAGAGUCCAUUGCUAAAACUCCUCGUUAGUAUUUACCACUCCUCCAGUCUGUGUUUUGAAGCAGUGGUUUUCAACCACUGCCCGUUUUCAGAAGAAAUCAUCUCAAGCGUCCGUGUGCUGCUAGAAGCCGGGCCGGGAGGUCUUGGUGCCGGACUCCACCCUGCAGCCCUUCCCUUUCGCCACCGCCCUGUGCUUAGAGAAACCUUAGAGUGGAGCAAUGAGUCGCCCUUGACUGAGUAACUCUUCGGGGUCAACUUCUCCUUCCACGCCAAGGAAAGGAUUCCAGGGCGAUGUUUCUGGAAAUAGAGAUCUGACCAAGCCACUGCUCUGGUGAAAAUUCAGUGGGUCCCUAGCACCUAGUGCAGCGGCUCCUAGCCUGAGUAUUGCCGUCUUUCGGUGGGGAGGGGUUGGGUUUUUUUGUAGCAUCUGUUGAUCUGAUCUCCAACAUCCUCCACGUCAAUUCCCACUCCACCCACAUCCCUUAUCCUAUACGUAAGCUUUCCAGCCACGGUGCUGGCUUGGGUGGGGGUGCGUGCGGUGCUGACACCAAAAUGGAGGUCCCGUGUUUCUGAGAGUCUCUUUCAGAGCAAUGCAAACCUGAAACUACUCCUGCCAAGAAACGAUUGCAGCUCUUCCCGGAAAAGUUAAAGCCUUUGAGAAACAAAGCUGAGGUUGAAAGUAUUAGUCCAUUUUAUAGAUGAAGAAAUGGAGGCCCAGAGAGAUCACGUGACUUAGCCAAGUCCACCAACUAAUAUUGGGAAGCUCAGCAGGGUCCUGGGGGCCCACAGGAAUGUGAAUAAACACGCUUGGAAAGUCUGCAGAAUUUCCAGUCCUAGCCUCCUGCUGGUGUGAACCUGGGCUCCUGUGCCUGGGACCCUGGGAGAUUUGGGAUUAAGCCUUAUUUUGCAUUGGGUUUAAUCUCAACAGACACCGAGGGGCACCUGGAGUCCCUGCAAAACCUUGUCUGGUAUCAGCUACCUAUCAGAGGAUGCAGAGGACAAGGUCAGGGCCUAGGGGAUGCCAAAUUCCAGGGUCCAGAAAGAGCUUGGGAUAAAAUGAACAUCCAAGGGGAGGGCUUUGACCUGGGCUGAGUCUGCCUGUGCCGAGUCUGCCUGUGCCAUCCAACUGGAGUCUCAAGUCCUGAGGCAGGACGUCCAGAUGCCCCAGUGCAGGGUCCUCCUGAUCAACACCUGCUCCCCUGUACUCAUUAGCAACCUCACCCACCCUACUCUCAAAGCACACUUGGCUCUCAUAUCCAGGAGCUCUGCAUCUGUAGAUUCAGCAACAGCAGAUGGAAAAUAUUCAGAAAAUAAAUUGGACAGUUAUAUUUCUAUUGAA
rnacentral:lncRNA from 1 species